CCUACGGGUGGCAGCAGUGGGGAAUAUUGGACAAUGGGCGAAAGCCUGAUCCAGCCAUGCCGCGUGUGUGAAGAAGGCCUUCGGGUUGUAAAGCACUUUCAGUGGGGAAGAAAGCCUUGGGGCUAAUACCCUCGAGGAAGGACAUCACCCACAGAAGAAGCACCGGCUAACUCCGUGCCAGCAGCCGCGGUAAUACGGAGGGUGCGAGCGUUAAUCGGAAUUACUGGGCGUAAAGCGCGCGUAGGCGGUCUGAUAAGCCGGUUGUGAAAGCCCCGGGCUCAACCUGGGAACGGCAUCCGGAACUGUCAGGCUAGAGUGCAGGAGAGGAAGGUAGAAUUCCCGGUGUAGCGGUGAAAUGCGUAGAGAUCGGGAGGAAUACCAGUGGCGAAGGCGGCCUUCUGGACUGACACUGACGCUGAGGUGCGAAAGCGUGGGUAGCAAACAGGAUUAGAUACCUAGUAGUC
rnacentral:rRNA from 1 species